rfam:Candidatus Burkholderia humilis strain TZHbot5 BHTMctg26, whole genome shotgun sequence.
GUCGUCGCGAGGCGGGGUCUGAAGGAAGCGUGUAGCAAAGGCCACGACCUGACGAACAGAAACCACCAGCACAUCCCAUCAGGGACAGCGAGCAAAAGUGUCUCGC